UACGAAGGGGGCUAGCGUUGCUCGGAAUCACUGGGCGUAAAGCGCACGUAGGCGGAUCAUUAAGUCGGGGGUGAAAUCCUGGAGCUCAACUCCAGAACUGCCUUCGAUACUGAAGAUCUCGAGUCCGGGAGAGGUGAGUGGAACUCCGAGUGUAGAGGUGAAAUGCGUAGAUAUCGGAAGGAACACCAGUGGCGAAAGCGGCUUCCUGGUCCAGCACCGACGUUCAGGCACGAAAGCGUGGGGAGCAAACAGG
rnacentral:rRNA from 1 species